GUGUGCGCGAGUCAUUGGGAUAUUACUAAACCUAAAGGCGUAAUGAAAGUGAAUGUUCGUCUAGCGCGAACAGAGGGAAGACGGUCGGUCCAAUUCGGGCCGUCCCGCAUUCCCGGGGCGUCUCGUUCUCAUUGCGAGAAGAGGCGCACCAAGAGCGUACACGCUGGGACCCGAAAGAUGGUGAACUAUGCCUGGUCAGGACGAAGUCAGGGGAAACCCUGAUGGAGGUCCGUAGCGAUUCUGACGUGCAAAUCGAUCGUCGGAACUGGGUAUAGGGGCGAAAGACUAAUCGAACCAUC
rnacentral:rRNA from 1 species